UACGAAGGGGGCUAGCGUUGUUCGGAAUUACUGGGCGUAAAGCGAACGUAGGCGGUGUUCCAUGUCAGAGGUGAAAGCCUGGGGCCCAACUCCAGAAUUGCCUUUGAAACGGGGACGCUUGAGUCCGAGAGAGGAUGGCGGAAUUCCUAGUGUAGAGGUGAAAUUCGUAGAUAUUAGGAAGAACACCGGUGGCGAAGGCGGCCAUCUGGCUCGGUACUGACGCUCAGGUUCGAAAGCGUGGGGAGCAAACAGG
rnacentral:rRNA from 1 species